rnacentral:tRNA from 1 species
AAUAAAGUGCCUGAAAAAGGAUUAUUCUGAUAGGAUAAAAUAUGUAAUUAAUUUAAAUUUACCUUUAUUA